rnacentral:rRNA from 1 species
UAAAGCAAGAAAGGGCGUAUGGGGAAUGCCUAGGCACACUCCGGCGAAGAAGGACGCAGCAAACAGCGAAAUGCGACGGUGAGCGGUAAGCACGUGAAGAGCCGUCGAUAUCCGAAUGGGGGAACCCACACGGAGUCAUAUCCGUGUAUCACAUGUCGAAUACAUAGACAUGAUGAGGCGAGACGCAGGGAACUGAAACAUCUAAGUACCUGCAGGAAGAGAAAAUAAGAAUGAUUUUCUGAGUAGCGGCGAGCGAAAGGGAAAGAGCCCAAACCGAUCUGAGGAUCGGGGUAGUAGGAUCAUCGAGGAAUCUGACAGAGGAUCAUAGAGGAAUCACAUGGGAAGGUGAGCGAGAGAGGGUGAGAGCCCCGUACUCGAAAUGAGAGACUGGAGAGAGAUGACACCUGAGUAGGGCGGGACACGAGAAAUCCUGUCUGAAUCAGCCGGGACCAUCCGGCAAGGCUAAAUACGAGAGAGUGACCGAUAGUGAACCAGUACCGUGAGGGAAAGGUGAAAAGAACCCCGGGAGGGGAGUGAAAGAGAACCUGAAACCAUAUGCCUACAAGAAGUCAGAGCCCGUUAAAGGGUGAUGGCGUGCCUUUUGUAGAAUGAACCGGCGAGUUACUGUAUGGAGCGAGGUUAAGCAGGAUAUGCGGAGCCGAAGCGAAAGCGAGUCUUAAGAGGGCGCGAGUUGCAUGCAGUAGACCCGAAACCGGGUGAUCUAGCCAUGACCAGGUUGAAGUUGGGGUAAAACCCGAUGGAGGACCGAACCGACCCCCGUUGAAACGUUGGCGGAUGAGUUGUGGCUAGGGGUGAAAUUCCAAUCGAACCCGGAGAUAGCUGGUUCUCCCCGAAAUAGCUUUAGGGCUAGCGUCGAGAGAAGAGUUGCGUGAAGGUAGAGCACUGAAUAUGUGAUGGCCCCAUCUCGGGGUACUGAGCAUAAUCAAACUGCGAAUGUCACGCCAACAUGCUCGGCAGUCAGACAGCGGGUGAUAAGGUCCGUUGUCAAGAGGGAAACAGCCCAGACCAUCAGCUAAGGUCCCAAAAUGUAUGCUAAGUGGAAAAGGAUGUGGAGAUGUACAGACAACUAGGAGGUUGGCUCAGAAGCAGCCAUCCUUUAAAGAGUGCGUAACAGCUCACUAGUCGAAUGACUCUGCGCCGAUAAUUUACCGGGGCUAAGCAUACUACCGAAGCUAUGGAUCCCAAGGGAUGGUAGGGGAGCGUUCCAUGAACGGAGAAGUACGACCGAAAGGACGUGUGGAGAUCAUGGAAGAGAGAAUGCCGGUGUGAGUAGCGGAACGUGGGUGAGAAUCCCACGCACCGAAAACCCAAGGUUUCCAGAGGAAGGUUCGUCCGCUCUGGGUAAGUCGGGACCUAAGGCGAGGCCGAAAGGCGUAGUCGAUGGACAACAGGUAGAGAUUCCUGUACCCGUAUAUAUGUGAAGGAAUGACGGAGAGAGGAAGCUGCAGCCAGCGGCUGGAAGAGCUGGUGCAAGCGAGAUAUCGGGAUGGCAGGCAAAUCCACCAUCCGAAACGAGAAGGCGUGAAGCGUACGGAAAGCUACGGCGAGUACGGAAGGCAGUGGAGGAACUUCCAAGAAAAGUUUCUAACGUUAAGUAUAUAUGGCCCGUACCGAAAAUGGACACACAUGGGUGAGGAGAGAAUCCUAAGGUGAGCGAGAGAACUAUAGCUAAGGAACUCUGCAAAAUGACUCCGUAACUUAGGGAGAAGGAGUGCUCAUAGAGAUAUGAGCCGCAGUGAAACGGCCCAAGCGACUGUUUACCAAAAACACAGCUCUCUGCUAAGCCGCAAGGCGAAGUAUAGGGGGUGACGCCUGCCCGGUGCUGGAAGGUUAAGGGGAGGGGUUAACGCAAGUGAAGCCCUGAACUGAAGCCCCAGUAAACGGCGGCCGUAACUAUAACGGUCCUAAGGUAGCGAAAUUCCUUGUCAGGUAAGUUCUGACCCGCACGAAAGGCGUAACGAUUUGGGCGCUGUCUCAGCUGUAGACUCGGUGAAGUCUUAGUACCUGUGAAGAUGCAGGUUACCCGCGACUAGACGGAAAGACCCCAUGGAGCUUCACUGCAGGUUGAUAUUGGGAUUUGAUGCAGCAUGUACAGGAUAGGUAGGAGGCAAAGAGAUGGAUACGCCAGUAUUCAAGGAGCCGCUGUUGGGAUACUACCCCUGUUGUAUUGGAUUUCUAACCGGACGACGUAGAGCCGUUGACGGGACAGUGUCAGUCGGGCAGUUUGACUGGGGCGGUCGCCUCCCAAAGAGUAACGGAGGCGCCCAAAGAUACCCUCAGCUUGGAUGGAAACCAAGCGCAGAGUGCAAAGGCAAAAGGGUGUUUGACUGCGAGACCCACAAGUCGAGCAGGGACGAAAGUCGGGCUUAGUGAUCCGGCGGUGCUGAAUGGAAAGGCCGUCGCUCAACGGAUAAAAGCUACCCUGGGGAUAACAGGCUGAUCUCCCCCAA